GAGAUCUUAACCAUAAGAGCCCAAUGAAAGGGGCAUCAAGACAUAAUAAAUCCCAAAGGAUUUGGCGGGGAUGGACAACCCAAUUAUGGAGGAGGAUACCGAAACGCUGGGCUUUAGCCACCCAAUCUGCAACUUGAUUUGCACUCCUAGCCACAUGAGAAGCACUGGCCUUCUUAAGCCGACCCAAUAAUUCACAUGGCUUCUAUGAUAAGAGCGUUUGCUUCCCAUAAGAAGUGAUAUAUGCUGGUCACUCCUUUAAUCACUCCCGACUCGUCUCGGAUUAUGCGCGCGAUAGCUCCCGUCGGUGAACCCUCCACAAGGAAGCCGUCGAUGUUUAUCCUCAGGGUACCGCGACUCGGUGGGAGCCAAGCAUGAGGUAACUCUCUGUUCACAGCUUUCAAAGUUCGUUUUUUGGGGGUUCCAUAUGCUGAACAUGGUGAGUGUGUUGAGGGUGGAAUCAAUUAGUGCUUUUGGGUAUGGGAUCUGUCGCCGGAAAACGAAGUCGUUCCUGGCCUUCCAAAUGCGCCAGAGAGUUACUGUGAUCAUGUCAAAAGAAGAUUUCUCCCAGAUCUGACCGGUCCAGGGGUAGAGCAAAAAUAGAUGUUCAAUUGUCUCCGCUUCUUGGUUACCAAAUGGACAGCUUGGGUCUGGUAAUACUUUUCGCCUAAAUGGAUUGUCUUUUGUUGGCAAGGCGUCUUGGCAGACAUUCCAAAGGAAAGUUCUGACUUUGGGGGGGAGUUUCAUUUGCCAAAAGUUCGUUCCACAACUUGCGGGGUGGCUGAAAUGAUGACGAUGCCUGUGUUGUGGAUUGAUUUCUCCCUUAUGCUGGUAACAAGUUGUAUGUACUCUUCACUGUGAAUUCCCCUGACUUGGUGACUGUCCACACCAACUUAUCCUGUAAAGUUUGGGUCUUUAAAGGCAGCCCAUGUAUUUGCAUCCAAAACGAACACGAGUCAAAAUAAAUGCUGUGAGGAGGUGUACUCGGCUACCACUCUUUGAGCACUAGGAGAUAGCUCGAGAAAGACCAAGGCCCAGAGCCGAAUAUUCUGUUUUUCUCCUCAAUCGAUGGAAAUUCAAAGGAAAAUAGCCCAGGCUGGAGGUGCUUGAAUACAACACUUCAGAUUUCCAUGCCUUUUUCAUUGUAGAUUGGAAGGCUUGGAAGUUCACACUAGGGCAGCAAUACGGUCGGCCAAGCUAGGUACGUUGACAUUCUAUCAAUUUUUCCUCAGUCACCACUUUAUCUAGCACCGCUUUUUUCCUACCUGGCCACAAAGGUUCCAAUCUUCUACACAGGGCAGCCAUUCGUCUGUCUUGGUCCCAGUCAUCUCCCAUUAUGAAAUAUAUGCCGGAAGAAAACGAGAAAUCCCAAGUAAUCUGAAGUACCGACCUCAACCAUUAGAGUGGGCAUCUCCCAUUUUGCUUUGUGUUGAAACUAAACCGAUGCAGGAAUAAAGAAAUACGCAGAUAAUAACCUGUGAACGUGGAGGACACAGCUUCACCCUAGCAAAGAUGGAAAACCCAGGAAAUGUGUUCUCAGUGCAGACCUCAGGGAAGGCGGAAGAAAAAGACAAACCCAGGGGGCAAAUUAGGGUUUGUUGUGCAGGCUCACUUCCAUAUCUUCUACAUUCUGGAUGCAAGUUGUAACGGAGAGUAUGAGUUGGGGUUUGUAUGUAAUGGGACUAAACUACCAUUGGUAGGGAAAUGCUGUGCAGUUGAGAGAGAGGAGUUCCAGAGGAGAGUACGAAGUACACUAGAAUUACUUUAUUAAACAAUGUCAUAAAUCCAAAGCAAGCAUUUUAACAAGUAAAUCAUAUUCAUCAUUAAAAAAAGUCAUUUUUCUUCCAAAAAUGCCCCUAUCUACAUUCUAAAUUCUCGACCACACUCAAUAGCCCCAACCAAACUCAACUCGAUCCCCACCUAUCUCUGUCACCCCUAGUCGUCAUGGCCCAUUGCCGCUCCAAUUUACACCCCUAUCACCGUCUGCCGUGGUUUCCCUCAUCGCGCACUGCCAUCAGUAUGUCCCCUUCCUCUAGUUCUCCAUCUUCAGCGCCCAUAUCUCUCUCUUUGGAGUGGAAUGAAAUGUUGUUGUCCUAAUUCAAUAAAGUCUAUAGCGAAAAAAAGAAAAAAUAAGAGAGAGUUGAACAAAAGUCAGGAAUUGGAAAGUUAUUUGAUAUCUUCCGUCUUUGGUUGCUGUCUGAUAUUCUCCUUCUCAUAUUCCAACUCGUGGUCUACAUAGAAAUUAACUUUCGGAUAUUAUCGACA